AUCACGUGGGACUAAAGAGGGGCAGCAGAUUCUGCUAUCGCGUGGUCACUAUCGCUGCAACGUUGCCGUCUCCGCCAGGCACCCCUGGCACUAGGAUACAGCGCGCGCCAGCCUCCUACAAACCUCGGAGCACCACACCCGCCCGCCCCGGAAAAGCCCAAGCCUACAUGUCUGCGGCCGUUACUCGCCCCACUCGCGCCCCUAUUCUCCGCCCGCGCGGCGCACGUGUGCGACGUGACGAGCGGCCGCUCUGCAGAGCGUACGCUGCUUACCUGGAAAUUAAAAAGCAAAAGGAUCGGACAAACCGCGCACACCAGCGAGCAGAGAGAAGAGGGAGGCUACAGCGCGCGAAGACGACUGAUAAAGCUUACGUAGCGUGUACGCCACUUAACGUGCCCCAGCGCGCGGCGGCGUGUGUGCUGAUUGGCUGAGGCCAGCAGGGGCGGGGCUCCGAGGAGAGUGAGCGACGGUAGAGCAAAAGGAACAAAGCUCUCUACGCGCUUCCCGGAAUAGAGGGCUCUUGCCACCCUGACACAGCCCCCCAGAUACCUGUACCAGUGGUUUGGAUCAUUUCUGCAGUGAGGGGAGCAGACAGGGACGUCCCCAAGGCAAUACGGGGGAGAGGUCCUUUGUGGAGACUAGCACCUGGCCCUGGCCUGUGUGAGAAUCCUACCUUCUGAGAAGGCCCAUCCUGAAAACAUACAUUCACAGCCAUAAGACAGACUCUUACAGGCAGACGGAUAUACCAAAAACAGACUCAGGCCUUCCUCAAGCAGUCCCUGACUUGGGCUCACCUUCUAGAACCGAUUUUCAGUAUCCACUCUCCCCACCACUGGGGAAGCGGGAGCUGCUUUCCACCAAGUGAAAUAUUUCAGCUCCUUCAGGCCGCCCCCUGUGGCCACCAAAGCCAUUGUCUGCCCCUUGGCUGGGAGGUCCAACCAGCUCCACCUCAUGUUCAGGAGGAUCAGGGGGCAGCGAGCUCCAGGUGACCUCGAGCAUGCGGAGGGCAUCAUCAAAGGCGAACUCACGCUUGAGCUCGAGCAGCAGCCAGCGGUAACAGAAGAAGAGGUCAUCAGCACCUGCUUCUUGCAAGUACCGGUAGAAGUCGGGGUCAGCAUGUCGCAGCAGCAAUUUGAGCUGCUCCUGAAAGAUAGCUUCCAGCCCUGGAAUAUCUCCAUCCAUGACAGCGUGGUUGACAUGUGCUACUAAUGAUCACAAGAAUGAUGGAUCCAACGAGUGACUGCGGAAGCUCACCUUUCGCAAUGAGGGCUCCACACCACCAUGAUAGAUCCGCAGGCGCAACUCCUCAGGGCGGGAGAGCUGGCCCUCGUGGUUCAGCCCUUCUUUCCACCUCAUGUGUGAUGUGGCAGGUGAAGCACCAAUGGCCACCUGAAGGUUGCCAAUCUUAACAAGCCCAAACUGUUGUAGUGUCAAAUGGCUGAGAACAAGGAUGUUGGAGCCAAUUCAGCCACUGUCCGGGUUCAAAUCCUGUUCUUCCUACCUGGCGAGGUGGCUCACACCUGUAAUCCUAGCACCAAGAGGCCAAGGUGAGGAUGAAGCAAGAAGGCCUUCAUCAGACCCACAACCUGCUAGUACCUUGAUCUUGGACUUCCCACCCUCCAGAACUGUGAGACAUAAAUAUCUAUUUAUAAA